rnacentral:rRNA from 1 species
ACGCUGGCGGCGUGCUUAACACAUGCAAGUCGAACGGAAAGGCCACAGCUUGCUGUGGUACUCGAGUGGCGAACGGGUGAGUAACACGUGGGUGAUCUGCCCUGUACUUCGGGAUAAGCUUGGGAAACUGGGUCUAAUACCGGAUAGGAAUCACAUGUGGGUGUGUGGUUGGAAAGCUUUUGCGGUAUGGGAUGAGCUCGCGGCCUAUCAGCUUGUUGGUGGGGUAAUGGCCUACCAAGGCGUCGACGGGUAGCCGGCCUGAGAGGGUGUACGGCCACAUUGGGACUGAGAUACGGCCCAGACUCCUACGGGAGGCAGCAGUGGGGAAUAUUGCACAAUGGGCGCAAGCCUGAUGCAGCGACGCCGCGUGGGGGAUGACGGCCUUCGGGUUGUAAACUCCUUUCGUCAGGGACGAAGCGAAAGUGAC